rnacentral:rRNA from 1 species
GCCUACGGGGGGCAGCAGUAGGGAAUCUUCUACAAUGGGCGAAAGCCUGAUGGAGCAACGCCGCGUGGGUGAAGAAGGUCUCCGGAUCGUAAAACCCUGUUGUUAGAGAAGAAAGUGCGUGAGAGUAACUGUUCACGUUUCGACGGUAUCUAACCAGAAAGCCACGGCUAACUACGUGCCAGCAGCCGCGGUAAUACGUAGGUGGCAAGCGUUAUCCGGAUUUAUUGGGCGUAAAGGGAACGCAGGCGGUCUUUUAAGUCUGAUGUGAAAGCCUUCGGCUUGACCGGAGUAGUGCAUUGGAAACU